ensembl:snRNA Gm26044 predicted gene, 26044
GUGUUGUAUGAAAGGAGAAAAGGUUAACACUACCCUUGACAAGGAUAAAAAGAGGCCCUUGGACCUAACAACACACAUACAGUUAAGGCAUUACCACCUACUUAGUGGCAUCUAACCACUGUU